UACGUAGGGGGCAAGCGUUGUCCGGAUUUAUUGGGCGUAAAGAGCGUGUAGGCGGCCAGGUAGGUCUGCUGUGAAAACUCGAGGCUCAACCUCGAGAUGUCGGCGGAAACCAUCUGGCUAGAGUCCGGUAGGGGAGCGUGGAAUUCCUGGUGUAGCGGUGAAAUGCGCAGAUAUCAGGAGGAACACCGGGUGGCGAAGGCGGGACUCUGGGCCGGAUACUGACGCUGAGGAGCGAAAGCGUGGGGAGCAAACAGG
rnacentral:rRNA from 1 species